CCAAUAGCGUAUAUUAAAGUUGUUGCAGUUAAAAAGCUCGUAGUUGAAUUUCGGGGUUAGUACGCUGGUCGUGCCUUCGGUACGUACUGGUGUUACUGAUUCCUACCUUCUGAAGAACCGUCAUGUCAUUAAUUUGGUGUGGCGGGGAAUCAGGACUGUUACUUUGAAAAAAUUAGAGUGUUUAAAGCAGGCUCGCGCUUGAAUACAUUAGCAUGGAAUAAUGAAAUAGGACGUUUGAUCCUAUUUUGUUGGUUUCUAGGAUUGACGUAAUGAUUAAUAGGGAUAGUUGGGGGCAUUAGUAUUCAAUUGUCAGAGGUGAAAUUCUUGGAUUUAUUGAAGACUAACUACUGCGAAAGCAUUUGCCAAGGAUGUUUUCAUUAAUCAAGAACGAAAGUUAGGGGAUCGAAGACGACCAGAUACCGUCGUAGUCUUAACCAUAAACUAUGCCGACUAGGGAUCGGAUGAUGUUAAUUUUUUAAUGACUCAUUCGGCGCCUUACG
rnacentral:rRNA from 1 species